UAUCUCUUCGGAGGUAAAUAUACUAAAAUUGGAACGAUAAAGAGAAGAUUAGCAUGGCCCCUGUGCAAGGAUGACACGCAAACUCGUGAAGAGUUCCAUAUUUUU
rnacentral:snRNA from 1 species